CACGUAGGGGCCAAGCGUUGUCCGGAAUUAUUGGGCGUAAAGCGCGCGCAGGCGGUCUCUUAAGUCUGAUGUGAAAGCCCACGGCUCAACCGUGGAGGGUCAUUGGAAACUGGGGGACUUGAGUACUGGAGAGGAGAGUGGAAUUCCAUGUGUAGCGGUGAAAUGCGUAGAUAUAUGGAGGAACACCAGUGGCGAAGGCGGCUCUCUGGCCAGUAACUGACGCUGAGGCGCGAAAGCGUGGGGAGCAAACAGG
rnacentral:rRNA from 1 species